GACGAACGCUGGCGGCGUGCUUAACACAUGCAAGUCGAACGGAAAGGCCCUGCUUUUGUGGGGUGCUCGAGUGGCGAACGGGUGAGUAACACGUGUGUAACCUGCCCUUGACUUUGGGAUAACUUCAGGAAACUUGGGCUAAUACCGGAUAGGAUCUCCUGCUGCAUGGUGGGGGUUGGUAAGUUUCGGCGGUUGGGGAUGUACUCGCGGCUUAUCAGCUUGUUGGUGGGGUAGUGGCCUACCAAGGCUUUGACGGGUAGCCGGCCUGAGAGGGUGACCGGCCAAAUUGGGACUGAGAUACGGCCCAGACUCCUACGGGAGGCAGCAGUGGGGAAUAUUGCACAAUGGGAGGAAGCCUGAUGCAGAAAAGCCGCGUGCGGGAUGACGGCCUUCGGGUUGUAAACCGCUUUCGCCUGUGACGAAGCGUGAGUGACGGUAAUGGGUAAAGAAGCACCGGCUAACUACGUG
rnacentral:rRNA from 1 species